rnacentral:tRNA from 1 species
GUCAAUAUGUCCGAGUGGUUAAGGAGAGAGACUUGAAAUCUGUUGGGCUACGCCCAUGCAUGUUCAAACCCUGCUGUUGACG